GGAUGCUGCUUAUUUUUCGCUGCAGCGAAAAGCACUUCUUAUCCCUCGUCGCACAUUUCUCUCUGUCUCUCUAAUGGCGGCUUCUUCUUCCUCCUUCCUCACCGCCGCAACAAAACCCUUAUCACAGUCCUUUCAAACCCUAGCUUCUCCCCCGUCCUCUCUCUCCUCUCCUCGCUCUCUCCCCGUUCCUCGCCGCCGCAGCGCCCUUCGCGUCGCCGCACGAAAAUGGGAGCCCUCGAAGGUGGUUCCUCAAGCCGAUAGAGUGCUUGUUCGACUCGAGCAGCUUCCGGAGAAAUCUUCUGGUGGAGGUCUGUGGCCGAA